rnacentral:rRNA from 1 species
UACGUAGGGGGCGAGCGUUGUCCGGAGUUACUGGGCGUAAAGCGCACGCAGGCGGUCUGUUAAGUUUGGAGUGACAGUUGGUGGCUCAACCUCCAAAGUUCUUUGAAAACUGAUAGACUUGAGGGCUUCAGAGGGACACGGAAUUCCGGGUGGAGUGGUGAAAUGCGUAGAGAUCCGGAGGAACACCAAAGGCGAAGGCAGUGUCCUGGGGAGUACCUGACGCUCAGGUGCGAAAGCCAGGGGAGCGAACGGG